rnacentral:rRNA from 1 species
GACCUGCGGAGGGAUCAUUACAAGAACGCCCGGGCUUCGGCCUGGUUAUUCAUAACCCUUUGUUGUCCGACUCUGUUGCCUCCGGGGCGACCCUGCCUUCGGGCGGGGGCUCCGGGUGGACACUUCAAACUCUUGCGUAACUUUGCAGUCUGAGUAAACUUAAUUAAUAAAUUAAAACUUUUAACAACGGAUCUCUUGGUUCUGGCAUCGAUGAAGAACGCAGCGAAAUGCGAUAAGUAAUGUGAAUUGCAGAAUUCAGUGAAUCAUCGAAUCUUUGAACGCACAUUGCGCCCCCUGGUAUUCCGGGGGGCAUGCCUGUUCGAGCGUCAUUUCACCACUCAAGCCUCGCUUGGUAUUGGGCAACGCGGUCCGCCGCGUGCCUCAAAUCGUCCGGCUGGGUCUUCUGUCCCCUAAGCGUUGUGGAAACUAUUCGCUAAAGGGUGUUCGGGAGGCUACGCCGUAAAACAACCCCAUUUCUAAGGUUGACCUCGGAUCAGGUAGGGAUACCCGCUGAACUUAAGCAUAUCAAUAAGCGGAGGA